rnacentral:rRNA from 1 species
UGGCUAACUCCUACGGGAGGCAGCAGUGGGGAAUAUUGCACAAUGGGCGAAAGCCUGAUGCAGCAACGCCGCGUGGGGGAUGACGGCCUUCGGGUUGUAAACCUCUUUUAGUAGGGAAGAAGGACUUCGGUUUGACGGUACCUGCAGAAAAAGCACCGGCUAACUACGUGCCAGCAGCCGCGGUAAUACGUAGGGUGCAAGCGUUGUCCGGAAUUAUUGGGCGUAAAGAGCUCGUAGGCGGUUUGUCGCGUCUGCUGUGAAAACCCGAGGCUCAACCUCGGGCCUGCAGUGGGUACGGGCAGACUAGAGUGCGGUAGGGGAGAAUGGAAUUCCUGGUGUAGCGGUGGAAUGCGCAGAUAUCAGGAGGAACACCGAUGGCGAAGGCAGUUCUCUGGGCCGUUACUGACGCUGAGGAGCGAAAGCGUGGGGAGCGAACAGGAUUAGAAACCCCAGUAGUCCAGCUGG